UACUUGACAGACCGCAGCAAACCGCAACC
rnacentral:piRNA from 1 species